rnacentral:lncRNA from 1 species
GCGCCAGACAACACCUCCAGAGGAAUGACGCCAAUUUUGAAUCACAAUGUAUCCGAAACUUCUAAAGCCCUACUUAUCUUUAAACGAUUUUCAAAUAAAUCGGAAUCAGGUAUAAUGCAGUUUUUUUAAGUUUUAACAUUUUUGUAUAAGCUUUAACACAAAGCAAAACAAAGCUCUGACUGAUUGUUUUAAAUUAUUAUAAUCAGUUCCGUAAAAUACGUAAGGGAUGCUGUGACGAACUUUGUCCCUUUUGGAUAUUUUUUUUUUAGUCAUUUAAAACGACGCUUUUUUGCUCCAAAAUAUUAUAUGCAUAUACAGGGUGUGACCACUAUGGGGACCUUUUUGGUCACUAGGCCGAGGCGAAUCUCUGGUACGGUAAAAUACGGUAAUACGCGUUUGAAAAGUUGACCACGCAGCUAGCUGGGAACCUUGGUUGAUUGCUAAUUUGCCAUUUUAAAGCUACAAGGACAGUGUUCGUUUUUGUCGUUUGCAACUAAUAUUUUUUUCAAAAAUUAAUGAGUGCAAUACUUAAACGUUGUUCUGUGCCGCAGUGCAAUGAUACAUCUUCAAGACGGUGUCUAUUUCCCAAUAAUCCAAACUUGAGAAUGGUUUGGAUCAGGCGGAUUGGGUGUGAUCGCUUAUUGGCAAAAGCGGCAGUUCGUUCUUCAUAUACAUUUAUCUGUACUAGCCAUUUUGCUGAUAUAUGUUUCAAGGAGAACGGAAUGCUAUUAAGAAAUUGUGUACCAACAAAAAACCUACCCGGUUUUAAAGGUGCAGCUUCCAAAGAAAAUAGCUUCCAUCGAGAGUAUAUGCCAUCUGCUCAGGGAUUUGUAACCACCCGGAAAAUUCAAGGUGAUUUAUUGUUU